GAUGAACGCUCGCGGGAGGCCUAACACAUGCAAGCCGAGCGGUAUUGUUUCUUCGGACAUGAGAGAGCGGCGUACGGGUGCGUAACACGUGUGCAACCUGCCUUUAUCUGGGGGAUAGCCUUUCGAAAGGAAGAUUAAUACUCCAUAAUAUAUUGAACGGCAUCGUUUAAUAUUGAAAGCUCCGGCGGAUAGAGAUGGGCACGCGCAAGAUUAGCUAGUUGGUGAGGUAACGGCUCACCAAGGCGAUGAUCUUUAGGGGGCCUGAGAGGGUGAUCCCCCACACUGGUACUGAGACACGGACCAGACUCCUACGGGAGGCAGCAGUGAGGAAUAUUGGUCAAUGGGUGCAAGCCUGAACCAGCCAUCCCGCGUGAAGGACGACUGCACUAUGGGUUGUAAACUUCUUUUGUAUAGGGAUAAACCUACCCUCGAGAGGGUAGCUGAAGGUACUAUACGAAUAAGCACCGGCUAACUCCGUG
rnacentral:rRNA from 1 species